CUUUACGGCCACACCGCCUGGCACGCCCGAUCUGCGUUUGAUCUCGGAAGCUAAGAUAGGUUGGGCCUGGUUAGUACUUGGAUGGGAGACCGCCUCAGGAAUACCAGGUGCUGUAAGUC
rnacentral:rRNA from 1 species